GAAANUGCUAGAUANCACCGCGUAGAGCUUCGGUCACGAGCGGUAUCGGUCGACNCUUUCGUCUCGUACCACGUUUCAUCUUUCUUUCAAUGAAUGACANAAAUCGCGCUGUCGAUCCGGUUACGCCNGAACUGGGCCCGUAGCUCAGUUGGUUAGAGCACACGCAUAAUAAGGCGUGGG
rnacentral:misc_RNA from 1 species